rnacentral:rRNA from 1 species
UACGGGGGGGGCAAGCGUUGUUCGGAAUUACUGGGCGUAAAGGGCGCGUAGGCGGCCUGCUAAGUCACACGUGAAAUCCCUCGGCUCAACCGGGGAACUGCGUGUGAUACUGGCGGGCUUGAAUUCGGGAGAGGGAUGUGGAAUUCCAGGUGUAGCGGUGAAAUGCGUAGAUAUCCGGAGGAACACCGGUGGCGAAGGCGGCUUCCUGGACCGACACUGGCGCUGAGGCGCGAAAGCUAGGGGAGCAAACGGG